UGUUAAAAAUUUCAUCCAAUUCUACUAUUAAAAACCGGUGUAACUGACAAAAUAACCAGGUAAUUACACGUGACGUGCCAUCUGUACUUGAUGUUGAUAUACAAAGAUCAAUUUUUAACAAUAAAAAUGGAUGAAAAUUCUAAUU
rfam:Gossypium raimondii Chr02_contig_1423, whole genome shotgun sequence.